rnacentral:lncRNA from 1 species
UUUUUUACUUUUCAUGUUUACAGUACCAAAUGAGGUCCAAUUGCCCCGGAAGAUUAUAUGAUUUUUUUCUGGACCAAAAGAAAACAUGGAAGCCUCGGAAGAAGGCCCGAGGCCACACGAGGGAGGCACCCUGAUGGCUUGUCCCUCCCUGGUCGCCCUAAUACCCCAAUUCUGCCGCCUAUAAAUUCACAUAUAUUCCAAAGACCUUAAAG